GCGGUUGUAGCUCAGUGGUAAAGCACUUGCCUUGCACGCAUGAGGCCCUGAGUUCAAUCCUCAGCACCACA
rnacentral:tRNA from 1 species